AAAUGAAAGGCUGGCUAGAACAUGCGUGCUAGUUUCUAUUGAUGGAAAAAUUGCAGGAGCAUUUGCCGUUACUGAUCCAGUAAAGCCAGAAGCUGAGCGUGUCAUCUCCUUUCUUCAUUCCAUGGGCAUUUCGGCUAUCAUGGUGACUGGUGAUAAUUGGGCUACAGCGGCUGCCAUUGCAAAGGAGGUUGGAAUUAAAAAGGUGUUCGCGGAGACGGAUCCAAUGGGAAAGGCAGAUAGAAUCAAAGACUUGCAGGGAAAAGGGAUGACUGUGGCCAUGGUGGGAGAUGGAAUAAAUGACUCGCCAGCCUUGGUUGCAGCUGAUGUUGGCAUGGCAAUUGGUGCUGGCACCGAUGUAGCCAUAGAGGCAGCUGAUAUAGUUCUUAUCAAAAGCAACUUAGAAGAUGUCGUUACAGCCAUAGAUCUAUCCAGAAAGACCAUUUUGCGCAUUCGGCUAAACUAUGUAUGGGCCCUUGGUUAUAACAUACUUGGUAUGCCUAUUGCUGCUGGAAUACUGUACCCAUUCACUGGAAUUCGUUUGCCACCUUGGCUUGCUGGUGCUUGCAUGGCUGCCUCAUCGAUUAGUGUUGUUUGUUCUUCGCUACUAUUGCAGUCUUAUAAGAAACCUUUGCACGUUACAAAUUCUUGAUGGCAAAUUUAUGAUAAUACUAUCUGAAAACCUGAAUUAAUUGUAGCUAAGGUUAGCUUUUAAGCUUUCAUUGCUGUAAUUGUAAACAGGUGUAUCAGUGCAUGCAGUAGUCCUUUUAUUAAUGUAAGAUCCUCUUGGUUCUUCCACGGCAUAGGUGGAUUAGGUGUAUCAAUGCAUGCAGUAGUCCAUGUAA
rnacentral:misc_RNA from 1 species